AGGAUGCGAGCGUUAUCCGGACUUAUUGGGUUUAAAGGGUGCGCAGGCGGACUGUCAAGUCAGCGGUAAAAUGUCCGGGCUCAACCCGGGCCGGCCGUUGAAACUGGCGGUCUUGAGUUGGAGAGAAGUAUGCGGAAUUCGUGGUGUAGCGGUGAAAUGCAUAGAUAUCACGAAGAACUCCGAUUGCGAAGGCAGCAUACCGGCUCCACACUGACGCUCAGGCACGAAAGCGUGGGUAUCGA
rnacentral:rRNA from 1 species